rnacentral:rRNA from 1 species
CCUACGGGUGGCAGCAGUCGAGAAUCAUUCACAAUGGGGGAAACCCUGAUGGUGCGACGCCGCGUGGGGGAAUGAAGGUCAUCGGAUUGUAAACCUCUGUCAUGUGGGAGCAAAUUCAAAAGCUAGUCCCCCAAGAGGAAGAGCUGACUAAAUCUGUGCCAGCAACCGCGGUAAUUCAGCGGGGGCAAGCGGUGGUCGGAAUCCCUUGGCUGAAGGGGUUCGUAGGCAGUUUCGUAAGUCGGGUGUGAAAGGCCCGGGCUCAACCCGCGGACGGCAAAUGAAACUGCGAGACUAGAGUAAGAGAGGGGUAUGCGGAAUGCGCGGUGUAGCAGUGAAAUGCGUAGAUAUCGAGAGGAACACUCGUGGCGAAGGCGGGUUCCUGGACAUUAACUGACGCUGAGGCACGAAGGCCAGGGGAGCGAAAGGGAUUAGAUACCCUUGUAGUC